rnacentral:rRNA from 1 species
AAGCUCGUAGUUGAAUUUCGGGGUUAGUAGGUUGGUCAUGCCUCUGGUAUGUACUGGUCUCACUGAUUCCUCCUUCCUUAUGAACCGUAAUGCCAUUAAUUUGGUGUUGCGGGGAAUUUGGACUGUUACUUUGAAAAAAUUAGAGUGUUUAAAGCAGGCUAACGCUUGAAUACAUUAGCAUGGAACAAUGAAAUAGGACGUUUGACCCUAUUUUGUUGGUUUCUAGGAUCGACGUAAUGAUUAAUAGGGAUAGUUGGGGGCAUUAGUAUUCAAUUGUCAGAGGUGAAAUUCUUGGAUUUAUUGAAGACUAACUACUGCGAAAGCAUUUGCCAAGGAUGUUUUCAUUAAUCAAGAACGAAAGUUAGGGGAUCGAAGACGAUCAGAUACCGUCGUAGUCUUAACCAUAAACUAUGCCGACUAGGGAUCGGAUGAUGUUAAUUUUUUAAUGACUCAUUCGGCGCCUUACGGGAAACCAAAGUGUUUGGGUUCCGGGGGGAGUAUGGUCGCAAGGCUGAAACUUAAAGGAAUUGACGGAAGGGCACCACCAGGGGUGGAGCCUGCGGCUUAAUUUGACUCAACACGGGGAAA